GGGUUCGUAGCUUAAGGGUAAAGCGCACAAGACAAACGCAGGAAAAAGGUUGUUAUGCCUAGCAUUUAACGGCCUCAGGCGUUGUGAAAAAUACAAUGUCACUGUAGAAAAUUGUGAGAUGUUGGUUCGAAUCCAACUGAAUCCA